rnacentral:lncRNA from 1 species
GCUUUGCAAGCUCACUUCAACGAGAGGGACAAGAGAUCGAAAGGAAAAUGGCUUAUGAAGAGUAAAGGGAAUUUUUAGAAUUUUGGUGGAAGAGAGUCCAAAAUAUUCAAGAAUUUGACUUGUCAAAGGGGUGAGAGCAGCUGCAACAAAAAUGGUGGUCAAGGCAACUUUAGAGGUGAAAAGAAGAGGUUUGACAAAAGUAAAGAGCAG